UUUUAAUAAAUCCUUUAAACGCACAGGCUUGGUCCCAGCCUUAAAAUCAAUUUUUACUUGACUUACACAUGCAAGUCUCCGCACACCUGUGAGAACGCCCUUCCACCCACUUAGGGACAAGGAGCUGAUAUCAGGCACUAUAAUUAGCCCAAAACAUCUAGCCAUGCCACAUCUAUAAAGGACCUCAGCAGUGAUUAAUAUUAAAAAUAAACGUCAGUUUGAUUUAGCCAAUGAAAACAGAACCGGCCAAUCUGGUGCCAGCCGCCGCGGUUACACCACGUGGUUCAAAUUGAUUUUUCCGGCGUAAAGCGUGAUUAAAGGAAAUAACUUACGGAGUCAAAUUAAAACUAAGCCGUAGUACGCUUGUUUUUAAGAAAACCAUACCUCAAAUUACUCCAAAAUACCCACUUGAAUUCACGAUAACUAGGGUACAAACUGGGAUUAGAUACCCCACUAUGCCUAGUCAUAAACUAUAACUUACACCCGAUCUCGCCUGGGAACUACGAGCAAAGCUUAAAACCCAAAGGACUUGACGGUGCCCCAUAUCCCCCUAGAGGAGCCUGUCCUAUAACCGAUACCCCACGUUCAACCUCACCAUUUUUAGUUAAUCAGCCUGUAUACUUCCGUCGCCAGCUUACCGCGUGAGCGUUACAAGUAAGCUUAAUGUCCCUCCACCAACACGUCAGGUCAAAGUGCAGCAAAUAAAAUGGGAAGAGAUGGGCUACACUUUCUAGCAUAGAAAAUACGAAAGACUAUAUGAAAUCCGGUCAGAAGGUGGAUUUAGUAGUAAGAAGAACAUAGAAUACUCUUCUUAACUCGGCACUGGGGUGUGUACACACCGCCCGUCACCCUCUUCAACCUAUAACCCUAGUUUAUAACAACUCACACUACUUUUAGAAGAGGUAAGUCGUAACAUGGUAAGUAUACCGGAAGGUGUGCUUGGAAA
rnacentral:ncRNA from 1 species